rnacentral:rRNA from 1 species
AGAGUUUGAUCCUGGCUCAGGAUUAACGCUAGCGGCAGGCCUAAUACAUGCAAGUCGAACGGUAACAGGUGUAGCAAUACAUGCUGACGAGUGGCGCACGGGUGCGUAACACGUAUGCAACCUACCUAUAACUGGGGAAUAGCCUUCCGAAAGGAAGAUUAGCACCGCAUAACAUCAUUCUACGGCAUCGCAGAAUGAUCAAACCUCCGGGGGUUAUAGAUGGGCAUGCGUAACAUUAGCUAGUUGGUGAGGUAACGGCUCACCAAGGCUACGAUGUUUAGGGGGUCUGAGAGGAUGAUCCCCCACACUGGUACUGAGACACGGACCAGACUCCUACGGGAGGCAGCAGUAAGGAAUAUUGGACAAUGGGGGCAACCCUGAUCCAGCCAUGCCGCGUGAAGGAUGAAGGCGCUCUGCGUUGUAAACUUCUUUUGUACGGGAAUAAACCCUUCUACGUGUAGAAGGUUGAAUGUACUGUAAGAAUAAGGAUCGGCUAACUUCGUGCCAGCAGCCGCGGUAAUACGAAGGAUCCAAGCGUUAUCCGGAUUUAUUGGGUUUAAAGGGUGCGUAGGCGGGCUAUUAAGUCAGUGGUGAAAGCCCCAAGCUUAACUUGGGAAUUGCCAUUGAUACUGAUGGUCUUGAGUACACUUGAAGUGGGCGGAAUGUGUCAUGUAGCGGUGAAAUGCUUAGAUAUGACACAGAACACCGAUUGCGAAGGCAGCUCACUAAAUUGUAACUGACGCUGAGGCACGAAAGCGUGGGGAUCAAACAGGAUUAGAUACCCUAGUAGUCC